rnacentral:rRNA from 1 species
UACGGGGGGGGCAAGCGUUGUUCGGAAUUACUGGGCGUAAAGGGCUCGUAGGCGGCCAACUAAGUCGGAUGUGAAAUCCCCAGGCUCAACCUGGGAACUGCAUCCGAUACUGGAUGGCUUGAAUUCGGGAGAGGGAUGCAGAAUUCCAGGUGUAGCGGUGAAAUGCGUAGAUAUCAGGAGGAACACCGGUGGCGAAGGCGGGUCUCUGGGCAGUAACUGACGCUGAGGAGCGAAAGCGUGGGGAGCGAACAGG